UGACAAAGACCUAAGCUCUCCAAAACAGAGAGAGGGGCGGGGGGUUGUUACAUCAUCAAUGCACAUGGUACAACGGUAUACUGCACUUGAUCAUCAUUCGUCAAAUGUCGGUUCAGUUCGCACGAACUAUUGUUCAUCGGUCCAAAUCUUAAAUCCAAUUAAACCCUCCGCCCCGAUCAGCCUAUCCGUUUCGGCCAUCACCGCCCAGAUAUAAAAGAAAUCCCAAUUAAUUUUCGUACUGUUUUAUCCGAUAUCCAAGAUCAAACAUAAAGGCGCGGACUACCCAUUGAAAGUUUUUCCCUUUUCCGUUUUUGCUGAAGAAUUGGCACUGAUCUUCAAAACGCGAACACGAUUCGUCUCCGUUUUAGGAUGCCUGAUGACACUGCUUGAACUGUGUUAGAACAGUGAUGUCAAGUUCAAAUAUAUCUGCUUUAAUGUUGCCACCAGAAUGCUCGGAAGAGAAACACAUGGCAAAUGCAAGCACUGACUUGCACCAGCCUUAUUUACAUCCAAUGCGAAGCGCAUCACGAGGUCCUGUGGCUGUACUCUGGGACAUUGAAAACUGUCCAGUGCCAAGUGAUGUCCGCCCAGAAGAUGUGGCUAGUAAUAUUAGGAUGGCAUUGCGGGUCCAUCCUGUAAUUGACGGAGUUGUCACCACAUUCUCCGCAUAUGGAGAUUUCAAUGCAUUUCCCAGGCGACUACGGGAAGGGUGUCAGAGAACAGGUGUCAAGCUCAUAGAUGUUCCUAAUGGGCGGAAGGAUGCAGCUGACAAGGCUAUCUUGGUUGACAUGUUCCUUUUUGCUCUUGAUUAUCGUCCGCCAUCUUCCAUCCUGCUCAUCUCUGGGGAUGUUGAUUUCGCUCCCGCACUCCAUGUUUUGGGCCAGCGUGGAUAUACUAUCAUUCUUGUCAUUCCUUCUAGGGUGAGUGUUUCGUCUGCUUUGAGUAAUGCAGGCCAGUUUGUUUGGGACUGGCCUAGCAUGGCUCGUGGGGAAGGAUUUGUGCCGCCCGCUAAAGUUUUACUUCCUACUUAUGGAGUUCCGACAAACAUUACUGGAUGCCAGAUCAAUGACAACUUAGAUUAUCAGAAUGAAGAAGAAGCUAUAGUGUAUAGUGGAAUCUCAAAAGGUUGUUGCAACAAAAGGGAUUUCUCUUUGAUCUCAAAGUCUCCAUCUGAACAUAAUAGUAGUUCAAUUUCAAUGCCUUAUUAUUCUACAUCUUCCAGAUCACAUGGCCUCUCAUCUGGGUUGAAUGAAGUUUCAGCAAGACCUUUUAGUUCACGUGACCAGAAUGACUUAAUGUGGGUGCAACCUGGAGAUCUGAAUGGUUUAAAGGGCCAACUGAUAAAGUUGCUUGAAUUAUCAGGUGGGUGUUUGCCUCUAAUUCGUCUUUCUGCUGAAUACCAGAAAAUCUAUGAGAGGCCUUUGUAUGUGUCUGAAUAUGGAGCACUUAAGCUUGCAAGUAUUCUGGAGAAGAUGGGUGAUGCAAUGGCUAUUGAAGGAAGAGGGAAAAGGAAGUUUGUCUACCUCCGUAAUGCCCGUACCUUAAUUUUAGCGAAGAGGGAUAAGAGAGGAAAAGAAGCUCAAGAUCCCAAUGAUGUUAUUGCAGGAGCUGGAUCUUCUGAAGAACCCUCAGAUGAUGAAAGGGUGGUCAUAAAGGAAUACGAUUUCAACAGUGGAAUAAAGAAAUCUAAUUUAGAGAUGGCACCUCAAUCUGAAAUUUUUGACGAGAGCCUCAACCUAUUCAAAUACGAGCUUCAAGAGAUUUUGGUGAGCUACUAUUGCCGCAUCUCUCUUGGUUGUUUUGAGGCUAUCUACCAGCAAAAAUAUAAAAGAUCAAUCGAUUAUCAAAGCUUUGGCGUGAAUGAUUUGGAGGAGCUUCUAGACAAGGUAAGAGACAUUGUCGUGUUGCAAGAGGAACCAGUAAGUAAAAGGAAGUUUCUAGUUGCUGUUUGUGGCUAGAAGAGUUCACUUUCCUUCCUUGGCAUUAUAUUGUGUUGGAGAAGGUAUUAUUGAGCCUGCCAUGGAUUUGCAUUAGGGGAGUUGCUGCUUGUCGAUGACAAUGCUAUGCUACCUUGAAAUGUGCAAGUCACAGCUGUCCGAGAACAGCUAUUUUCACUAUUGAUGUACAUACUUUAUAAGGUACUCAAGCCGUGGCUUUGCCCACAUGGCAUCCCCUGUGGCCACCAGAACUCAAUUUUGCAUCUAUGAUCCCAAUUCCAUUUGGACCUUUUACGCUGUUCAGUUGGAAGCAGAUGAUGCAUGCUCAUACUAUUUUCAACACUGGUUUCCUACUUUAUGGUAAUUAGUUCAUAUUUUCUUUUGGAGAUUCUCCAUAUUACUGCAUUGCAGAAAGUGACCUCUGAAUUGAGUAAAAUGGACCAAUAUGUGUUCUUAAAUUGGUACGACCAUCUGGCCAUUCUGAUUUGACGAUUGUAUUUUCUGCAAUUUCUGUAUAUGGAAUACUUAGGUAUAGGCAUACAUGAUACAGCAAAGUAUCGAAGUGGAGAAAGGUGAAGGUAGUUAUGUAUUUUUUAAGACCACCAGCACAUUUAUGUUUCAUUAUCCAUGGAAUAUGUUGAUGAUAUUCAGGAGUUAGUGUAUCGAGCAUUAGAGUUUGCUUCUGGUUUGAUGACGAGCACAUUCAACCUGUAUGAAGGUCCCAGCAAUAGCAAAUUUCUAUACUAUCCAUCACCUACAAUGGUGUGCAUGAGGGCGCUUUCUUUUCCAGUCGAAGAACAGAAAUCCCUUUCUCCUCAGUUGCAAAACUAUGAUACGGGUGCUUGUGUGUCAUUGCAGUGAUGACUAGAGCACAUUCAACCUGUAUGAAGGUCCCAGUGACUCAGAUUCUUCCAUCGCCAAGCACUGUUUGACUAGCAAAUUUCUAUACUUUCCAUCACCUACAAUGGUGUGCACAAGGGCGCUUUCAUUUCCAGUCGAAGAACAGAAAUCCCUUUCUCCUCAGUUGCAAAACUAUGAUACGUGUGCUUGUGUAUCAUUGCAGUCGAUGUAGGUUGGUCGAUCUUUCCUGACGUGGACAAUGACAUAUAAAGCAGUGAAGAGACAAAUGGCAAGAGCAAACUGUAUUAUCAUAAUGAGCUUAUCCUUCACAUGUUAGAUACGCAUUGCUAGAUAGGACUAUAUAGUGCACGAUCAUGUUCUUUAAUUAUAGAUAGAAUGAUGCUAUCUAUAUAGUUUACUUUUGGUUCGCUCGUAUAAUGAAUUUAGAUGAAACUAUAUUGUAUAUUACUAGGUGGAGAUUAUUUUGGACAGACUAAGAUGGAUAAUGGGAUUUGAUUUUUCAUUUAAAAA